UACGUAGGGGGCGAGCGUUGUCCGGAUUUAUUGGGCGUAAAGAGCUCGUAGGCGGCUGUUCGAGUCGGGUGUGAAACCCCAGGGCUUAACUCUGGGCCUGCAUUCGAUACUGGGCGGCUUGAGUCUGGUAGGGGGAUCUGGAAUUCCUGGUGUAGCGGUGGAAUGCGCAGAUAUCAGGAGGAACACCGGUGGCGAAGGCGGCUUUCUGGACAGAUACCGACGCUGAGGCACGAAAGCUAGGGGAGCAAACAGG
rnacentral:rRNA from 1 species